rnacentral:rRNA from 1 species
CGAAUCAUUCACAAUGGGCGAAAGCCUGAUGGUGCGACGCCGCGUGAGGGAUGAAGGCCUUCGGGUUGUAAACCUCUGUCACCGGGGAAGAAACGCUUCAAGUUAAUAGCUUGAAGCCUGACUUAACCCGGAGCGGAAGCAGUGGCUAACUCUGUGCCAGCAGCCGCGGUAAUACAGAGACUGCAAGCGUUAUUCGGAUUCACUGGGCGUAAAGGGUGCGCAGGCGGUUGGGUGUGUCAGAUGUGAAAUCCCGAGGCUCAACCUCGGAACUGCGUCUGAAACUACUCGACUAGAGUACUGGAGAGGGUAACGGAAUUCACGGUGUAGCAGUGAAAUGCGUAGAUAUCGUGAGGAACACCAGAGGCGAAGGCGGUUACCUGGACAGUUACUGACGCUCAGGCACGAAAGCAUGGGGAGCAAAA